GGUCCUCCAGGGGCCUCCGGGGGAGGGGGGCAGGGUUCGCCCCAGAGUCUCUGGGCCCAGGUGUCAGCCAGCGAGAUGUGAGGGCGGUCGGCUCACCCGGCACUGGUGCAGCGGAGUGUGCUGCCCUGUCAGUCAAGGUGUCUUCAUUUGUACCCUGCGAUUACUUUUGUCUUAAUUUGUCUCAGUGUCUCUCUCCCUCUCUGACUGCUGUUAGCUCAGUUCCUGCCAAGCGGGAGACAAGAGCCCGAAAUGAACCCAGAACCUCUGUGAUGUAAGGCAGGAAUUUAAUGUAACAAGUGCCUGGAGAAUCCUGACAGCUGGUCUAGGACUGGCCAGCCUUCGUCAAAGUUGGAAAGAAAACUUCCUGGAUUACAUCGCUGUUGUCUCAGGGUCCCCUCUACCAAAUGGCCGAAGUGUGGCCAUGGGACUCUUUUGCUCUCCAGAGCACAGAACAGAUCAAGCUCAUCAUAAAAACAGCAGCAGCAAAGGACUGAGAAAGGCUGGGGAAGAAUAUAAGCCGACCUUGCAGCACUCGUGCCUGGAGGAGACAUUCCGUAAUCACGUACUGGGAGAAAUGGGCCAAGCCGAGGGCCUGAAACUCACCACAUACACGGAGAUGGGCAGAAUCAUGUGUCCCCAAAUUCUUACUCUGAAUCUCAGAACGUGACUGUAUUUGGAGAUACGGUUUUCACAGAGAGGAGGACACUGUGACGGGGAAUGAUUCAGUCACUUCCCCAUGUGACUGCGAGUACCUGCGUCAUUCUUUUCCGAGCAUCACCUCCUACAGACGGCUGCCUUCUUGACGUGGAUUCCUGUGGUUUUCUCAAAGAUCUUUUUUCUUGCACUUCAUUCAUCUGGCCUGUCCCACAUCACUCUCCUACCUAUGAAUGCUACCAGCCGCUCCAGGGCUCUGUGCCUUCUGUGCAUGCGAGCCGUUUUCUCUACCAGAUGGUGCACUUCUCCUCACUCUUUGGUGUAAUUUCUCAGAAUUAGGAGAGCCUUUUUGAACAUGACACGAGGUCCAGAGCCAUAAGAAUGACAUGUUCUUAGAAAAGUAUCUACUUACUGAAAUGGGAAAACGAGGAAGUCAAGUGUACUUGUGGAUGUGAGGUACACAAUGUGUCACGACCCUGGGGUCUCGCUGGGCCAAAAAGGACCAGUGUCUGGCCUCUAAGUCAUGGGAAGACAAGGGUCAGUCUUGUAGGUGUGAUGUGGCUAUUACAGAAAGCAGGUGGCCUUUUUGUUUGGCACCUGCGUACUCUUCUGCUGAUAGCAGGUGGACCCAGGUAGAGCUGGCGGGAGAGAGCAUGGUUGAGGGGUCCUGGGAAUCAGCUGAUGGCUUAUUUCAGCAAUAACAUGUGUGUUCACGGCCAGAUGUGCUGGCCUCUUCCAUUUGUUCCUGAGGCAAAUUGCAAGAAAAUCCUGCAUUCUGAUAUAAUCGAUGAUCUAAUACCCAAGAAAAGGUUUUGUGGUUUUAUUUUGGUUAAGCGUUUGCUUUAGGACUGAUACUACUAUUGCUUUUAAUAAAUGAUUUUGAUACACCUUGUCCUCAGAA